UGUAAAAUUAGCGCAGUAGGUAGAGCAUCAGUCUUAUAAUCUGAAGGUCGUGAGUUCAAUCCUGGUUAAAG